rnacentral:rRNA from 1 species
GAUGAACGCUGGCGGCGUGCCUAAUACAUGCAAGUCGAGCGAACGUACGAGAAGCUUGCUUCUCUGAUGUUAGCGGCGGACGGGUGAGUAACACGUGGAUAACCUACCUAUAAGACUGGGAUAACUGCGGGAAACCGGAGCUAAUACCGGAUGAUAUUUUGAACCGCAUGGUUCAAAAGUGAAAGACGGUCUUGCUGUCACUUAUAGAUGGAUCCGCGCUGCAUUAGCUAGUUGGUAAGGUAACGGCUUACCAAGGCAACGAUGCAUAGCCGACCUGAGAGGGUGAUCGGCCACACUGGAACUGAGACACGGUCCAGACUCCUACGGGAGGCAGCAGUAGGGAAUCUUCCGCAAUGGGCGAAAGCCUGACGGAGCAACGCCGCGUGAGUGAUGAAGGUUUUCGGAUCGUAAAACUCUGUUAUUAGGGAAGAACAUAUGUGUAAGUAACUGUGCACAUCUUGACGGUACCUAAUCAGAAAGCCACGGCUAACUACGUG